GUUUUUAUAGUGUAACUAACAUAUAGUCCUUUCAAGACUAAGCUAACUAAAGUUUAAAAACA
rnacentral:tRNA from 1 species